rnacentral:lncRNA from 1 species
ACUAAUAUCCAUGGGGAUCCAUAGGGUUGUCUCCGCUACACGUGAACCAUUUUCUUUAACAAUCUUAAUUACAGAGUCGUCCCAUACCAUGUCCGGUAUGAGUACCAAGACAUUAAACCUCAAUACCCCGUCCGGUAUGAGGGUGAAGCGGGUCGUCCUCAUACCUCGUUCGGUAUGAGGGCCAAAGUCUCCAUACUCCGUCCAGUAUGAGACAACGUUCACGAUAGGGUUCUCUAUGAACCUAGUAUGUCCACCAUCUCUCAGGAUAUCUAGUGAGACUGUCGUCUUAUCUGUUUAUUUGAU